GAAAAAAGACUGCCACCGAAGGAGGAGGAAAAAAGACUGACACCGGAGGAGAAGGAAAAAAGACUGACACCGCAGGAGGAGGAAAAAAGACUGACACCGGAGGAGGAAAUAAAGGUGAACCUGAGGAAAAAGCUUGAAGCAUUUAAUCAGAAGGUGAGGCAAGAAGUCACACAGCCAGCCAUCUCCCGAACCCCUAACAAUAAAUCAGUGGAUUAUCAAGACCUUACAUGAAUGUACCUUGUGUGAUGACAGACCACAUGGACCUCACGUUUAACACUCGUCAUUUACACAUACCGUUUUUUGUGUCAUUGUGAUUUGUCAUAUUUCCAGAUUUUACGCGGAAUCUUUCUCCAGCAAGUGAAAUACAUCUUUCAAGGAAUGUUUU